ensembl:lncRNA
UAUAUCAUAACCAUAGCAACCAGGGUGUUGUGGGUGGUUGCUAGGAUAAUUGCUAGGGCUCUCUAUAUGACUUUUUAAACCAUUUUGAAUUCACACUUUUAUUAUUUAUUUUUUUUUUUGGUUGCCAAGGUGUUGUGGGUGGUUGCUAAGGCUUUUCUAUAUGGUUGCUAAUUUAUUAUGAAUGGUUUGAAGUGUGUAGCUGUGUGGUUGCUAGGGUGUUGUGGGUGGUUGCUAGGGCUUCUCAAAAUGGUUGCUAAGGUGUUCCAAUAAUUUUAAGUGUGUAGCUGUUUGGUUGCUGUGGUGGUGUGGGUGGUUGCUAGGAUGUUGUGGUUAGCUGUAUGGUUGCCAGGGUAUUGUGGGUGGUUGCUAUGGCUUUUCUAUAUGGUUGCUAAGGUUUCCAGUUUGUUGUGUGUGGUUGUGUGUGGUUGCUAGGGCUAUUCUAAAUGGUCACUAAUGUGUUCUGAAUGGUUUUAAGUGUGUUCCUGUGUGGUUGCUAGGGUGUUGUGGUUAGCUGUGUGGUUGCCAUGGUAUUCUGGGUGGUUGCUAGAGCUUUUCUAUAUGGUUGCUAAGGUUUACAGUGUGUUGUGGGUGGUUGCUAGGUGCUCACAAGUAACAAUGGCCCAGAACACCCUAGCAACCACUUAGCAACACACUUAUAACAACUUUGCAUUGUGGCAGUGAGCUUUGCUCAGUCAAACACACUGUAUUUGUUCAGUUGUAUGGCUGUAGCUGCGUAUGAAUGUAUCUGAUGGUACGAGUGUGUCCUUGCUGCUUUGACUCUCAAACAUCUGGCUGUGUGUUUGUAAUAAUGAGCAGAACAUGACGGCACAGCGACCGUCUCACCUCUGAAAGCCCUGAAUGACACUUCAGCAGAUGCUUCAAUGCAAUCUGUUUUGUGUCUUUCCUCUCAGUGUGAAGGUGUUUAAUGUUCAUUCUGUGACAACAGAGUUCAUGUUGAAGAUCAUGAGCACCUCUAAUCAUCAAGCACAAAUAAUCUAAACACAAGUCAUUGGUUUUUACUUUCUACGUGCUUUAGAUGAGACAUGCAGCAUAUGUUUUCUUCUGUUCUGGGUCUCGUUAAAGAGAUUUCAUAAUGCAAUUUCAUUGCAUAUUGAUUAGUAAUGUUGCAAAAAUUCUACUUAUAUAAAACUGCUACAAUAUUAGUAUUUAUUAAUAUUUUAAUUAGAUUUCAUUUUUAUAUUUGUU